ACUCCUACGGGAGGCAGCAGUAGGGAAUCUUCCACAAUGGACGAAAGUCUGAUGGAGCAACGCCGCGUGAACGAUGAAGGCUUUCGGGUCGUAAAGUUCUGUUGUAAGGGAAGAACAAGUGCCGCAGGCAAUGGCGGCACCUUGACGGUACCUUGCGAGAAAGCCACGGCUAACUACGUGCCAGCAGCCGCGGUAAUACGUAGGUGGCAAGCGUUGUCCGGAAUUAUUGGGCGUAAAGCGCGCGCAGGCGGCCUCUUAAGUCUGAUGUGAAAGCCCCGGCUCAACCGGGGGAGGGCCAUUGGAAACUGGGAGGCUUGAGUAUAGGAGAGAAGAGUGGAAUUCCACGUGUAGCGGUGAAAUGCGUAGAGAUGUGGAGGAACACCAGUGGCGAAGGCGACUCUUUGGCCUAUAACUGACGCUGAGGCGCGAAAGCGUGGGGAGCAAACA
rnacentral:rRNA from 1 species